AAUAGGCAACCCAAUGACUACUAGAUCUACGGACAGCCAGGAACCAGGACAAACAACAUCCGUACACACGAAAGAAGUCGAUGAGACGUUUGUUAUUAUGUCGACAAAACAGGCUAUCAAUCUGUUUUCAAUCUUCCCCAAUGACAGUGAACGGCAAAAAAUAAAACAUGUGAUGCAAGAUAAGCAAAAGUAAACUAUUUUGGACGAAGAGUACCGAAACUAAAGAACAUAGCGACACUGCACAAGAGUACAAUUCACAAGAUGCAACAGAAAAUAUGUUGAACAGUGAAUCAUCGGAUAUCGAUGUACGAAAACUUAUUACGAUUUUGUGAUUGCAAUACAGUACACACAUUUAAACAUUUUAUCUAAGAUUAAAUAUAGUUCAGAUUUUUUUUUAAGCUCUAGUAUCGAACUGUAAUUAA